UAUACCCCCUCCCUAUCAUUAAUCAACCCCUCUAAAGAGUGGGAAUAGACAGUGUGGGCCCUCUGAGGCAUAAGACUCACAGAGGGAAGAAAUACAUCCUGACUCUAGUGGAUUUCACAACUCGGUACCCAGAGGCGAUUGCCUUGACCUCCACUGAGGCACUUGUAGUUGUUAAAGCCCUGACCAAAAUCUUCUUGCAGCUUAGUUUUCCCUCUGAAAUCCUAACUAACAGGGGUUGAAACUUUCUGGUGGAGGUGAUGAAGUGAAUGUGGGAGUGCUGUGGGGUGAAACACCUCAAAACCACAGCUUACCACCUUAGACAAAUGGGCCCGUAAAAAGGUUCAAUGGGACCUUGAAAGGUAUGCUAAAGGCCUAUGUGGACUCUAACUUCAAUGACUGGAAUGAAAAACUUCUGCAUUUGCUCUUUGCCUACCAGAAGGUGCCCCAGGAGUCCACUGGGUUCUCGCCAUUUGAGUUAAUGUUCGGAAGGCAAGUUAGGGGUCCUCUUGAUUUGGCAAGAAAAAAAUGGGAAGGGAAAAUCUCUUCCACUAAGAUCUACUUUACCAGAUUUGCCCAUUACUUUGGGGUGUGCUCAUUUAAGGGAUAUGUUUCUAGAGUCUUGGUAAUUCUGUCAAUGUGCUGCUUGUGUUACUUGUGUUUCUAUACAGAGCUGUAUAUCUCCCUUCUGCAAGUCCUCACCCCCCAAUGGAGCUAUCUUGCAGGAUUCAGUUUCAAUGGGGCUGGGUUCCUCCAGUCACCAAAUCUGUCAUACGCACAAACACACACAGAUUAACGUGACAUGCCUGACCUGGCCGGGUUGAUCAGCAUGGACAGGCUGACAUCUUCAUAUGCCAAGAAUCAGUUCAUCAGAGCAACAAUACACUGCAGUCAGACACAAGCACACAGUAAAAAAAUCACCUGAGGAUCCAAAGGAGCCAUACCAUGUAUGGUAACUGGGAUAAAGAGGCAGAAAUAGAGGAACUCCACCUGCUGGACCAUCUGCCGUCCCAGGACAAGGACAAGCUGCUCGUAGCACUCAAGAACUUUGAGACAGUGUUCUCCAACAAACCAGGUACUUUUGCCCAAGGGAGGUCUCUGCAAGAACUAGCUCUACCUCAAGAGUUCAGCCUCCAGAGUUGCAAUGCUCUGUAGGGCUUGAGGAUGCUUUCUUCACAGCUUGUCCUGCCUCCGUGAGCCCACAGGACCAAAGACAGAACCUGCACCUACCACAUAGCUGAGACCAUACUAAGCUCAAACACGUGGACAGCUCUACAACAAGAAGAACUACUGUUUGGAGCAUAUACCCCCUGGCCAGCCUGGUUGGGGUUGACUAAACACAAAGGCUCAAACCUUGCCUUUUCUUGUCAAGUCUGCAAGGUUUGAAACCAGACAGGCAAGGGAAUAUCACUGGAGGCAAAACACAGUGGGAGCUUUAAACUCUACUGCACUUAGCACAAGAGGAAGAAGAAGAAAAUAGUUGGGCUGGGUGUAAGAGACACCAGCUUAAUCUCAUGAAGAGCUGAUGUCUGGCUUGUGAUUCAGAGAAGGAGCUGCAGCUUUUUUUCUCAGAAAGGAAAGACUUUUAUUGGAAAUAAGUGGUUUUUAUUUUUUGGUUUAUUGAAGCAGUGGGAAGGAAAGUGAGGAGGUAGAGCCUCAGUGUGAAAGCUCUUGAUCAGAACUUGUACUGCACACAUGAGCCAAUGUGCUGAAUGCAGUGUCAAUGCGCUGGUCUUUCAGACACUACUGUGCCUGUGUGCUCUGUCCCCUAACUAUACAUCCUGUCUGAGGAGGGAGGUCCCUUCAGAAGAAGUAGAUAUGCAAAGCUGCCUGUCUUAUGUGCAACUGGAUCUGAUCAUCUUUGUGUGUUUGCAGGGAUACAGCUUUGCAUGAUACACAGUUAUCCAGAGCAGUGGCUCUCAACCUUUUUUGUGUCAGGACCCAUUUGCUGACAUUGAUUCCUUGUCCUGAUCCACACACCCCUGGCCCUGCCGGUGCCUGGCCCACAGUCCUCUGCUCCCACCUGAGUCUUGCUGGUGCCCCUCACCCCCAAGCUACAGCCACCUAUCCCCCCCAGGGCAUGCUGGUGCCCCUCACUCCUGAUCUGCAGUCCUCUGCCCCACCCUAGGCUUGCCAGAGGGGGCCCCCAGCUGCCUCUGUUCUGCUUGGGCCAGAGCAUGAGCAGCAAGUGCAGGUCCCUGUGUGUAUGGGCUCUGGCCCCAUGCCACUAGCCCAGGCAUACAGGUCCCCACUGUGAAGGACUGCCCCUACCACCUGACCCCGUUGAAGGGCCAGGUGCCUUCUCCUCCCACUCCCCCAUACCUGCUGCGGUCCUGCACCCUGCCACUGUCCCCAGCACUGGCAGGCAGGUAACUGCGCACACACGUGCACCCUCCCAGCCCUCCAGAGAGUCUUCUGGACGUCCAUUCCCUGCUUCCCAUACUUACCUGGGUCCAAGGGCUGGGUCUGCUCCUACAACCAGGCUUUGCUGUAUUCUGGCCAUGUGCAUCUGUGUGCGCAGAUGCAUAUGCGCCUGCUGCCUCCAAUCAUCCCAGGCAGCCACGUGCAGGCUGGAAUGCUGCCAGCUUGCAAGGGGAAAUGGGUUUUUCUGGGGACCUGUUCGUGACCUUAUCAAAUAUUCUUGCAAUCCGCUUUUGGGUUAUGACCCACUGGUUGGGAAACGCUGAUCCAGGGCACAUUCAACUUUGUUUCUGAACUGUUUCAUGAUGUCUCUGCCAGGACUCUGGAGUCAUAAUUUCCAGUGUGACUUUGAUGGACAUCCACCAGCUGUUUUCCCUGCUAAGUAUAGAGUUUUUAAGUAUUUAUCCAUCUGACAUGUUUUUGAUUCUCUGCAUAUUUCCUGGGAAAGUAAAAGCAAUGGGGAUUUCCAGUAAUGACUUGGGGA